rnacentral:misc_RNA from 1 species
UUUAUGCCGGAUGGGCGACGUCCGACGCCUAUUUCAGGCGGUGCUUCGAGGUCCGCAAGCGUGUCCUGCAGACAAGUGGCCCGCUGCAUUAUGUCAAGACCACGCCGCUGUUUCUCAAUCCGCCCUGGUGGGUCAGCGCGAACAUCGCUCGCCUUGAAGCGGAGGAGCCCGCUGCGGCCGCGGCGCUGGCGCCGACGGACAUCAUGCUGAGCCGCAUCGAAGCGAUCUGUUCGUACUCGCCGGGCGA